AUUACCGGACUCACAAAACCCAGCCACAGGUUCGGUUGGUGCGUCUGUCCGGGUCGGGGCGUGUAAGCCGCCCAACCUCAUCCCGCUCGCUUGCCGAGCAGGGAGUGCUAGCGCACGGCUGAGGGAACUACAAAAGCCUCGGGCCACCGUGCCCGAGGUUGUUUACUACUGUUUGAAUCCUGCCGGACG
rfam:Natronomonas pharaonis DSM 2160 complete genome